rnacentral:rRNA from 1 species
GAUGAACGCUGGCGGCGUGCCUAAUACAUGCAAGUCGAGCGAACAGAUGAGGAGCUUGCUCCUCUGACGUUAUCGGCGGACGGGAGAGUAACACGUGGAUAACCUACCUAUAAGACUGGGAUAACUUCGGGAAACCGGAUCUAAUACCGGAUAAUAUAUUGAACCGCAUUGUUCAAUAGUUGAAGACGGUUUUGCUGUCACUAAUAGAUGGAUCCGCGCCGCAUGAGCUAGUUGGUAAGGUAACGGCUUACCAAGGCAACGAUGCGUAGCCGACCUGAGAGGGACGUCGCACACCCUGGCAGAGAGGAACGGCCCCGACUCCGACGGGAGGACGCAGCAGGGAAUCCUCCGCGAGGGGGGAAAGCGUAACGGAGCAACGCCGCGUGAGUGAUGAAGGUCUUCGGAUCGUAAAACUCUGUUAGUAGGGAAGAACAAAUGUGUAAGUACCUAUGCACGUAUUGACGGUACCUAAUCAGAAAGCCACGGCUAACUACGUG